rnacentral:siRNA from 1 species
CUGCUCGAUUUACUGAUAUGGUAG